CGAAAGAUGGUGAACUAUGCCUGGCCAGGAUGAAGCCAGAGGAAACUCUGGUGGAGGUCCGCAGCAGUUCUGACGUGCAAAUCGAUUGUCAGAGCUGGGUAUAGGGGCGAAAGACUAAUCGAACCAUCUAGUAGCUGGUUCCCUCCGAAGUUUCCCUCAGGAAAGCUGGUGCUCAUUAAUGAGUUACAUCUGGUAAAGCGAAUGAUUAGAGGUCUUGGGGACGCAAUGUCCUCAACCUAUUCUCAAACUUUAAAUGGGUGUGAUGCCGGCCUUGCUUUAACUUUAAGUGAAGGUCUGGUGAAAAAUCAGAGUACCAAGUGGGCCAAUUUU
rnacentral:rRNA from 1 species